GGGGUCACUUGAGCCGAGAGUGGAAUGAAAUAAAGGAUAGCAAGCCACACAGAGAAUGCAGCAGGCAUGGCGGCGGGAGCAACGCUGGUGUCCCCGAGCAGCAGUAGGGAAGCCGGAGUGACUAGACUUGUGUGGGUAUGGGGAAGAGGGGAGAGAGAUCACCCAUCUGUGUGAGGCCCAGGACUUUGUUUUAUCCCCUGCUGUACCCCCAGCGCUUAGAGUGGGAGCUAGCACAGAGAAGUCGCUUGAUUGAUGUUUGCUGAGCAGACGAAUGCCUGGAGUAGACCUCAGAGCAGGGUUUGGUGGCAGGGUGGGUCAGGGAGAGAGUUCACUCCACACCCUGGUGAUAGGGGAGAACAAGUGGCCGGAGGGUGUCCAUCUGUGAUGGGGUCCAGGGGUCCCUGCUGGACAGAAGUGUGGGAGACACGGAUCCUGGCCACACCUCAGCCUUCCCUCCAGCCUGAUUACCUGCCUCCCUCCCUUGCAGAGGUUUUGGUUCUAUGGUGAUCUGGACUGUCCCAAGUGGGUCCUGGCAGAGAUAGGCACGCUGGCCAAGAUGGUUGAGUGCACAGGGUCUAGUCUGGGUGGAGGAGGGGUGCUGGGGCUGGGGAUUGUGGGUGUAGAUGAUGGUGAGGUUUUUCUGGGGUUGGGACCUCAGUGGUCUCAGCCUGUGCUACCAUGCUUUGUGACCUUGAUCAGCGGCUGGCCUGCUCUGAGCCAGUCCCCAGGAAGGAGGGGUGAGGUUUGCCAGCCUGGCUGAUAUAAGGACUUCCCUUCCAGUCCUCUGUGAAGUUGCAGCUGCUCUGCAGCCAGGUACUAAAGAGCUGCUGGGACAGGGGAAUGAUGAUCCAGGCUAAGGGUGAGGGGCUGGUGAAUAGGGUACUGGCACCCCCGAAGAUCUCCUUUCCCCAUAAUAUGAGAAGAUCCUGAAGCUCACGGCUGAUGCCAAGUUUGAGUCAAGCGAUAUGAAGGCCACAGUAGAAGUGCUGAGUUUCAUCCUCUCCAGUGCGGCCAAGCACAGUGUCGAGGGCGAAUCCUUGGCCAGUGAACUGCAGCAGCUGGGGCUGCCCUAAGGUUAUGAGGAGAAGCAAAGCCCCUUGCAGAAGCACUUGUGGGUCUGCAGCCUAUGCAGCAAGUAUGAGGCCAGCCAGGGUCCAGGCUCCUUCUAGAAGGUGCACACAGCAUGCGAAGUGCAUGGAGAGUCCAGGGAGACAACUUAACCAUGGUCACAUACCAAGCAGCUGCAGAGCUGGGACCUGGCCCUGGCUCUCCUGACUCUGCGGACUGUGUGAUGUGUACCUACAGGAUCAGACCUUGCCCUUUCCUCCUGGCUGACCCUUCCCUAGUCCUCUGUGCCCCGUGUGUGAGCACCCAGCUCUCUCUUAUUCCUCCCUCUCUGAAGCGUGGUCCCUGGGAGCACCAGUGGCAGAAGGGGCAGCAGAGACUGUGGACCCCUCAGCUGCACCUAAGACCUCUGUGUGGUCUAGCUAUGUGUGCUGGGGGAGGCUUUUGGCCACCAUUUCCCCCUCUGUAAAUGAGACCGAUACCUGUGGCAUGGAGGGCGGGAGGCCGGUGUGAGUGCCAAGCACUUGGAGCAGGGCCCUGAGUGAGCAUGGACCUGGAAACGGGUGUUCCUUGACCUUAUGCACCUUGGGAAUGGGAGUGGGGCUCCCUGCGUGGGUUGACAAUUCAUUGCUUUCCCCCACUCCGCCUCUUUCCCAGCCCUGCAAGUCCAGUCAUUGGCGGUCCAGGAGGGAAGAAGCCCCUGGCUGUGUGACUUCGGGCUGGUGCCUGGCUCUCUCUGGCUCUGAGUUCCUGGGAAUGUCAGCACCCAAGGCAUGCCCUCAAGUUUAGCACCUUGACAAGAAAGGCGGGGACACUGGGAUCAGGCCCACCCCCCUGGCCUUAAACCCCGUGGCCCCAGCUGGAGGAUGAGGACAUGCUGGGCUUGGAUGGGGGAGUCAGGGGUGGAAAGGGACCUGCUCGCCCCUCAGCUUGGCUCAAAGGCUCAAGGCAUCCAUGGUUGAGUCUGCCCCUCAAGAAGCAGCCCAGGCCCAGCCAGACACUCACCAGGACAAGGGCAACUCUGACGAGCAGGAGGCCCAGGAUGAGGAGAGCCACGGCAUAGCUGGAGAUGAAGAUGUCCAGCGGGCUGGAGGCUUUGGGGCCAGGAGUGCCUAGAGCAGAGCAAGAAGGCUAUGACCAGGCGGGGCUCUGCCUCCCAGACUUCUGAAAAGGCAGAAUCUGGGCCCAGAAGGUGCUGUGGGACCAGAGAUCUAGGGCUAGGAGCAUCUUGGAGGGCUCCAUGAGGAGGGGAGGCAGGCUUCAGAUCAGGGCAUGUGGAGUAGGCAGAUGGACAGAGGGAGAGGGCCUGCAGAGGGAAGGAGGUACUGACCGAGGUCUGGGAUGAUGGGUGUGCAGACCCUGGUGCAAACAGUCCCAGGAAGCUUUUACUCCUGGGGGGAGGCGGAGAGGGAGCAGGCCUGUCACAUGGUGAGAGAGGAAGAAAGAGAGAGGAGGCAUCAGGCUCUUUUUAACAACCAGCUCU